AGUGAACGCUGGCGGUAGGCCUAACACAUGCAAGUCGAACGGCAGCACAGUAAGAGCUUGCUCUUACGGGUGGCGAGUGGCGGGCGGGUGAGGAAUACAUCGGAAUCUACUUUUUCGUGGGGGAUAACGUAGGGAAACUUACGCUAAUACCGCAUACGACCUACGGGUGAAAGCAGGGGAUCUUCGGACCUUGCGCGAUUGAAUGAGCCGAUGUCGGAUUAGCUAGUUGGCGGGGUAAAGGCCCACCAAGGCGACGAUCCGUAGCUGGUCUGUGAGGAUGAUCAGCCACACUGGAACUGAGACACGGUCCAGACUCCUACGGGAGGCAGCAGUGGGGAAUAUUGGACAAUGGGCGCAAGCCUGAUCCAGCCAUACCGCGUGGGUGAAGAAGGCCUUCGGGUUGUAAAGCCCUUUUGUUGGGAAAGAAAAGCAGCAGGUUAAUACCCCGCUGUUCUGACGGUACCCAAAGAAUAAGCACCGGCUAACUUCGUG
rnacentral:rRNA from 1 species